UACGUAGGGUGCAAGCGUUAAUCGGAAUACUGGGCGUAAAGCGUGCGCAGGCGGUUUUGUAAGUCAGAUGUGAAAUCCCCGGGCUUAACCUGGGAACUGCGUUUGAAACUACAAGGCUAGAGUGUGACAGAGGGGGUGGAAUUCCACGUGUAGCAGUGAAAUGCGUAGAUAUGCGGAGGAACACCGAUGGCGAAGGCAAUCCCCUGGGCCUGUACUGACGCUCAUGCACGAAAGCGUGGGGAGCAAACAGG
rnacentral:rRNA from 1 species